GACGAACGCUGGCGGCGUGCUUAACACAUGCAAGUCGAACGGAAAGGCCCUGCUUUUGUGGGGUGCUCGAGUGGCGAACGGGUGAGUAACACGUGAGUAACCUGCCCUUGACUUUGGGAUAACUUCAGGAAACUGGGGCUAAUACCUGAUAGGAGCUCCUGCUGCAUGGUGGGGGUUGGAAAGUUUCGGCGGUUGGGGAUGGACUCGCGGCUUAUCAGCUUGUUGGUGGGGUAGUGGCUUACCAAGGCUUUGACGGGUAGCCGGCCUGAGAGGGUAACCGGCCACAUUGGGACUGAGAUACGGACCAGACUCCUACGGGAGGCAGCAGUGGGGAAUAUUGCACAAUGGGCGGAAGCCUGAUGCAGCAGCGCCGCGUGCGGGAUGACGGCCUUCGGGUUGUAAACCGCUUUCGCCUGUGACGAAGCGUGAGUGACGGUAAUGGGUAAAGAAGCACCGGCUAACUACGUG
rnacentral:rRNA from 1 species